AGACGUUGGUGAGACUGAGUCACAGACUUCAUGAGCGCCUGCCCUGGGAUACAACUGCUGAGAGGUGGAACCCCUAACUCUGGUGCAUCUGCUGGGCGCGCUGUCAAGUGCAGCUCUAAGGAGCCCUUUGUGUGCUGGAGUGGCAUCUGAGCGCAGGAGGAUGGCUGCAGCUUCUCCUCUCCCACUUCAGUGCAUUCGGGGCAGAAACCCUUCUCAUGCUAUCCAGGGCCCCAAAGCAAGACGAAGAGCUCUACCGGAGCUGGAGCUCAGAAAGCACGCAGGCCCUUUCUGCUACUGAGCCCACAGGAGGCUGCGGGAUGGACGUCCCCAGACUCACCAGCUGGUGGCAUGUCCCCAGAUGGGCCUUUACUUCUUCUGGUCUCACCUUCUCAAGCUUCUUUCUGACGGAAGCCAGGGAGCGACCAGCCCGGGGGUCGCCCAGGUCCCUUUGCCCCGCCUUCCCCUCCUGGCCACAUUGUUUGCUCUUCUACCUUAUUCUAGCAUCUCCAUCCAAGGACAUUGGAAAAGCUAUUGAAAUGCAAUUAGCUAAAUGUCCAGAAAAAGACAUAAACUGACUUCUAAUUA